rnacentral:tRNA from 1 species
GCGGGUGUAGUUCAAUGUUAGAACACCAGCCUUCCAAGCUGGAUACCCGGGUUCGAUUCCCGGUACCCGCUCCA